CCUACGGGGGGCAGCAGUGAGGAAUAUUGGUCAAUGGGCGGGAGCCUGAACCAGCCAAGUCGCGUGAGGGACGACGGUCCUAUGGAUUGUAAACCUCUUUUGUCGGGGAACAAAGGCGGCCACGGGUGGGCGGAUGAGUGUACCCGAAGAAAAAGCAUCGGCUAACUCCGUGCCAGCAGCCGCGGUAAUACGGAGGAUGCGAGCGUUAUCCGGCUUGAUUGGGUUUAAAGGGUGCGUAGGCGGACCGUCAAGUCAGCGGUAAAAAUGCGGUGCUCAACGCCGUCCCGCCGUUGAAACUGGAAGUCUUGCGUGGGCGCGACGUAUGCGUCUUGCGUGGUGUCGCGGUGAAUUGCU
rnacentral:rRNA from 1 species